rnacentral:rRNA from 1 species
AGAACGAACGCUGGCGGCAGGCUUAACACAUGCAAGUCGAACGCCCCGCAAGGGGAGUGGCAGACGGGUGAGUAACGCGUGGGAAUCUACCCAGAACUUCGGAACAACUGAGGGAAACUUCAGCUAAUACCGGAUACGCCCUACGGGGGAAAGAUUUAUCGGUUCUGGAUGAGCCCGCGUAAGAUUAGCUAGUUGGUGGGGUAAUGGCCUACCAAGGCGACGAUCUUUAGCUGGUCUGAGAGGAUGAUCAGCCACACUGGGACUGAGACACGGCCCAGACUCCUACGGGAGGCAGCAGUGGGGAAUAUUGGACAAUGGCGAAAGCCUGAUCCAGCCAUGCCGCGUGAGUGAUGAAGGCCUUAGGGUUGUAAAGCUCUUUUAGUGGGAAGAUAAUGACGGUACCACAGAAAACGCCCGGACCAACUUCGUGCCAGCAGCCGC